rnacentral:tRNA from 1 species
CGCUGGAUCGAGCGGUUUCCGCUCAUCGCCGGCUUCAGCCCGGCGCAUCUGCAGAUCGCCCGUGGGACGGUGCAGUUCCCGGUCCUGGAGGC